AGGACUAACGCUGGCGGCGUGCCUAACACAUGCAAGUCGAACGAAGUAGCAAUACUUAGUGGCAGACGGGUGAGUAACACGUAGUCAACCUGCCCUUCAAUGGGGGAUAACUAGCCGAAAGGUUAGCUAAUACCGCAUACGAUCUCUGAGUGGCAUCACUCGGCGACGAAAGGAGUAAUCCGUUGAAGGAGGGGACUGCGUCCCAUUAGUUAGUUGGUGGGGUAAUGGCCUACCAAGACUCCGAUGGGUAGCUGGCUUGAGAGAGCGACCAGCCACACUGGAACUGAGACACGGUCCAGACUCCUACGGGAGGCAGCAGUGAGGAAUUUUCCGCAAUGGGGGAAACCCUGACGGAGCGACGCCGCGUGUGGGAAGAAGGCCUUCGGUCGUAACCACUGUCGAGGGGGACGAGUAUUGACGGUACCCGUGGAGGAAGCCCGGCUAACUACGCGCCAGCAGCCGC
rnacentral:rRNA from 1 species